GCGAAGCCGGAGGAGGAACAGAAGGGUCUCCUUCUGUUCCUUCUCCAGCUUCGCUGAAGGGGCGCUGCGCCUUCUCCCUCUCUGCGCAGUGCCUCUCCUGUGAAGGAGAGGUGCUGCGCAGAGAAAGAGAACUGCACAGUGCCCCUUCAGCGAUGCGCCUGUCAUGCGAAGCGGGAGGAGGAACAGAAGGGACUCCAUCUGUUCCUUCUCCAGCUUCGCU